rnacentral:rRNA from 1 species
GCCAGACUCCUACGGGAGGCAGCAGUGGGGAAUAUUGCACAAUGGGGGGAACCCUGAUGCAGCGACGCCGCGUGGGCGAGGAAGUAUUUCGGUAUGUAAAGCCCUAUCGGCAGGGAAGAAGAAAUGACGGUACCUGAAUAAGAAGCACCGGCUAAUUCCGUGCCAGCAGCCGCGGUAAUACGGAAGGUCCGGGCGUUAUCCGGAUUUAUUGGGUUUAAAGGGAGCGUAGGCCGGCUUUUAAGUCAGCUGUGAAAGUCCGCGGCUCAACCGUGGAAUUGCAGUUGAAACUGGAGGCCUUGAGUGCACACAGGGAUGCCGGAAUUCAUGGUGUAGCGGUGAAAUGCUUAGAUAUCAUGAAGAACUCCGAUCGCGAAGGCAAGUGUCCGGGGUGCAACUGACGCUGAGGCUCGAAAGUGCGGGUAUCAAACAGGAUUAGAUACCCCGGUACG